rnacentral:rRNA from 1 species
CUAAGUUUGAUGGCGACCGGCGCACGGGUGAGUAACACGUAUCCAACCUGCCGAUGACUCGGGGGUAGCCUUUCGAAAGAAAGAUUAAUACCCGAUGGCAUAGUUCUUCCGCAUGGUAGAACUAUUAAAGAAUUUCGGUCAUCGAUGGGGAUGCGUUCCAUUAGGUUGUUGGCGGGGUAACGGCCCACCAAGCCUUCGAUGGAUAGGGGUUCUGAGAGGAAGGUCCCCCACAUUGGAACUGAGACACGGUCCAAACUCCUACGGGAGGCAGCAUG